rnacentral:sRNA from 1 species
ACCAAGGUUCGACUCGAGCGCCAGCGAGAGAGCGUUGCCGCAGGCAACGACCCGAAGGGCGAAGCGUGCAGCGCUGAGUAAUCCUUCCCCCACCACCA